rnacentral:rRNA from 1 species
CUGGCGGCGUGCUUAACACAUGCAAGUCGAACGAAGCUGCGAGACGGAUCCCUUCGGGGUGAAGACUUGUAGACUUAGUGGCGGACGGGUGAGUAACGCGUGAGCAACCUGCCUUUCAGUGGGGGACAACAGUUGGAAACGACUGCUAAUACCGCAUAAUGUAUACGGAUCGCAUGGUCUGUAUACCAAAGAUUUAUCGCUGAAAGAUGGGCUCGCGUAUGAUUAGAUAGUUGGUGAGGUAACGGCUCACCAAGUCGACGAUCAUUAGCCGGACUGAGAGGUUGAACGGCCACAUUGGGACUGAGACACGGCCCAGACUCCUACGGGAGGCAGCAGUGAGGAAUAUUGGGCAAUGGGCGCAAGCCUGACCCAGCAAUGCCGCGUGAAGGAUGAAGGUUUUCGGAUUGUAAACUUCUUUUGUCAAGGACGAUAAUGACGGUACUUGACGAAUAAGCCACGGCUAACUACGUG